UCUAUUUUUCGAAAUAUUUAUGCAAAUGAGCACUGUCCGCGACAGCUGAUGGAUCAGCAUGACAUGGCGGAUGGAAAAAUGGUCGGCUUUGCGUUUGAUUAUCCGGCUUCUAAAGUGAAGUUGUACAUUUUAGCCAUGCAGGAGCUGAAUAUAUAAAUGACACCUGUGGCGUGGAGUACCAAAUCACUGACUGGGAAGUAUUACGCCAUGUGUUGUGUCAUGAAAUAAAGUCAGGCAUGAGAGGUUACACUAUCGACACUGGUUUGGAGAUCGAUUGGGAAGAUGUACCGAGCUCCAGAGACAAUGCAUCACACAGUAAAAAUCAGAAGAAAAAACCAUUUGGUUUUGUUGAGCUUUCUUCCCUCACGAGGAACAUAAGCGACGGAAACAUUGUUAAAAUGUUUGAGGUUUUUCUAAACGAGCUGAAAGAUUCAACCUCCAUCAGUAUGACCCUGGAACAAGAUCUUUGAUUUGCUGCUGAGCAAGAACAAAGACAGCCAGGGCCUGGUAAUGGAAGUCAUUCUUUUCUGGCAGAACAUACCUGAAGAUUUCUCUCCCAGUCAGACUGUCUAAAAUCUGAAAUCCUUAAUUGGUAUAAUGGGUAACUGUUUAUGUAGGUUAUUUGAGAGAACAACUCAAAAAUGUAUUUUGAGAAAUAUUACAGAUCUUAUAUUGCAAAUUAUUGAAAGGAAAUUAAAUAAUUCUUCACUCUACACAUCCCAAACUUUUGUUAAGGUUGAAUGUGUGCAACAAAUGAAGGAAAUCUUGGAUCGUGUCUGUAUGACUCAAAAAUGGCUUGAUAUCGUUAGAAGUAGAUGGACUGUUACAAAAAUAUUUGUCUAAAGUUUUAUGUAUUUACUUUGAACUUUGAACCACCGAUGACAUGUAAUGUGAAUCAUCUAAUUUGUUUGUAUGUAUAUAUAAUCAAUCUGUGU